GAGGUGGCGGCCUGCUUACACAUUGCAGUCGAACGGGGAUGCUUAUGGAAGGAGUGCUUGCACUUUUGGAAAUGAGUAUCUUAAUUGGCGGACGGGUGAGUAACGCGUGGGUAACCCGCCCCAUACCGGGGGAUACCACCUGGAAACAGGUGCUAAUACCGCAUAAGCGCACGGGAGCGCAUGCUCCUGUGUGAAAAACUCCGGUGGUAUGGGAUGGACCCGCGUCUGAUUAGCCAGUUGGUAGGGUAACGGCCUACCAAAGCGACGAUCAGUAGCCGGCCUGAGAGGGUGGACGGCCACAUUGGGACUGAGACACGGCCCAAACUCCUACGGGAGGCAGCAGUGGGGAAUAUUGCACAAUGGGGGAAACCCUGAUGCAGCGACGCCGCGUGAGUGAAGAAGUAUUUCGGUAUGUAAAGCUCUAUCAGCAGGAACGAGACAAGACGGUACCUGACUAAGAAGCCCCGGCUAACUACGUGCCAGCAGCCGCGGUAAUACGUAGGGGGCAAGCGUUAUCCGGAAUCACUGGGUGUAAAGGGAGCGUAGACGGCUGAGCAAGCCUGAAGUGAAAGGCGGGGGCCCAACCCCUGGACUGCUUUGGGAACUGUACGGCUGGAGUGCAGGAGAGGUAAGUGGAAUUCCUAGUGUAGCGGUGAAAUGCGUAGAUAUUAGGAGGAACACCAGUGGCGAAGGCGGCUUACUGGACUGUAACUGACGUUGAGGCUCGAAAGCGUGGGGAGCAAACAGGAU
rnacentral:rRNA from 1 species